AGCGAACGUUAGCGGCGCGCCUAACACAUGCAAGUCGCACGGAGUAGCAAUACUCAGUGGCGCACGGGUGCGUAACACGUAGAUAACCUGCCCUUAAGAGGGGGAUAACGUUCCGAAAGGAGUGCUAAUACCGCAUAAUGCCAGUAAUGGAGAAAGGCUGGGACCAGCAAUGGCCAGUCGCUUGUGGAGGGGUCUGCGGCCCAUCAGCUAGUUGGUAAGGUAAUGGCUUACCAAGGCAAAGACGGGUAGCUGGUCUGAGAGGAUGAUCAGCCACACUGGUACUGGAACACGGACCAGACUCCUACGGGAGGCAGCAGUGGGGAAUCUUGGUCAAUGGGCGCAAGCCUGAACCAGCGACGCCGCGUGAGUGAUGAAGGCCUUCGGGUUGUAAAGCUCUGUGGGGAGGGACGAAAGACUGAGGUCUAAUAGGCUUCAGGUUGACGGUACCUCCUUAGCAAGCACCGGCUAACUCUGUGCCAGCCGCCGCGGUAAGAC
rnacentral:rRNA from 1 species